AUACGGAGGAUCCGAGCGUUAUCCGGAUUUAUUGGGUUUAAAGGGUGCGCAGGCGGGAGAUUAAGUCGGCGGUGAAAUUCUGCAGCUCAACUGUAAAAGUGCCUUCGAAACUGGUUUCCUUGAGUGUAGAUGAAGUAGGCGGAAUUUGUGGUGUAGCGGUGAAAUGCAUAGAUAUCACGAGGAACUCCGAUUGCGCAGGCAGCUUACUAAACUACUACUGACGCUCAGGCACGAAGGCGUGGGGAUCAAACAGGAUUAGAUACCCUGGUAGUCCACGCAGUAAACGAUGAUUACUAGCUGUUUGCGAUACAAUGUAAGCGGCUGAGCGAAAGCGUUAAGUAAUCCACCUGGGGAGUACGUUCGCAAGAAUGAAACUCAAAUGAAUUGACGGGG
rnacentral:rRNA from 1 species